CACCUUUCCCUAAUACUUUAUUGGUUACCUCUAGGCCUGUGUGCGGCUGGGUGGGCUUGGGGGAGGGCGUCACUAUUCAGCUUCUAGGUGGAGGCAUGAGAAGGCCUUGGCCUAGCCCUCCAGGGUCCCAUACUGUGGAGUUUGGAGGGGCAGGUCUGGCCUUUCCUGGGUCAGCAUAGGGCACCCAGGUGGGGGCACAGGCUAGACGCACGGACGAUCACACGCGUGGACCCGCGUUCUCAGCGCCAAGUGAGCCCUGGGCCGCGAAGCCUUUUAUGCCCGGCCCGAACCAAGAC
ensembl:lncRNA novel transcript, antisense to PRDX2